rnacentral:tRNA from 1 species
GGUUUCAUGGUGUAGCGGUUAGCACUCUGGACUUGGAAUCCAGCGACCUGGAGAGACCUUACAGUUCUGAUUCCG